AUGCUUGCUUGGAAAGUAUGUAUACUAAAAUUGGAACAAUGCAGAGAAGAUUAGCAUGGCCCUUGCACAAGGAUGCCAUGCAGAUUCAUGAAACCAUCCAUAUUUUU